rnacentral:rRNA from 2 species
UACGUAGGUGGCAAGCGUUGUCCGGAUUUACUGGGUGUAAAGGGCGUGCAGCCGGGCUGACAAGUCAGAUGUGAAAUCCCGCGGCUCAACCGCGGAACUGCAUUUGAAACUGUCAGUCUUGAGUACCGGAGAGGUCAUCGGAAUUCCUUGUGUAGCGGUGAAAUGCGUAGAUAUAUGGAAGAACACCAGUGGCGAAAGCGGCUCUCUGGUCUGUAACUGACGCUGAGGUUCGAAAGCGUGGGUAGCAAACAGG